CAGCCGCCGCGGGAAUACGAAGGGUGCAAGCGUUAAUCGGAAUUACUGGGCGUAAAGCGUGCGUAGGCGGUUUGUUAAGUCUGUUGUGAAAUCCCCGGGCUCAACCUGGGAAUGGCAAUGGAUACUGGCAAGCUAGAGUGUGUCAGAGGAUGGUGGAAUUCCCGGUGUAGCGGUGAAAUGCGUAGAGAUCGGGAGGGACAUCAGUGGCGAAGGCGGCCAUCUGGGACAACACUGACGCUGAGGCACGAAAGCGUGGGGAGCAAACAGGAUUAGAUACCCGCGUAGUCCCUGUCUCUUAUAC
rnacentral:rRNA from 1 species